ensembl:misc_RNA Metazoa_SRP Metazoan signal recognition particle RNA
GCCGGGUGUGGUGGCGCACACCUGUAGCCCCAGCUACUCAGGAGGCUGAGGCAGAAGAAUCACUUGAACCCGGGAGGUGGCGGUUGCAGUGAGCGGAGAUUGUGCCACUGUACUGCAGCCUGGGUGACAGAGUGAGACUCUGUCUCAA